GUCAGGGAAGGAGAUAGCAGGGAUCCUACUGGCUUACAGUCGUGGUGCACUGAAAAAAAGGAAUUGCCGUUCUUCUGAACUGAAAACUCCUGUGCAACCCAGCCAAAACACACAUCAGCAGGUGGACUCAAGCUCUGCACACCCAUCCUAUGCACACAUAAUUAGCACAAGAAAAGGACCA